rnacentral:rRNA from 1 species
CCAGAGAAUUUAGCAGAGAUGCUUUAGUGCCUUCGGGAACUCUGAGACAGGUGCUGCAUGGCUGUCGUCAGCUCGUGUUGUGAAAUGUUGGGUUAAGUCCCGCAACGAGCGCAACCCUUAUCCUUUGUUGCCAGCACGUAAUGGUGGGAACUCAGAGGAGACUGCCGGUGAUAAACCGGAGGAAGGUGGGGAUGACGUCAAGUCAUCAUGGCCCUUACGAGUAGGGCUACACACGUGCUACGAUGGCGCAUACAAAGAGAAGCGACCUCGCGAGAGCAAGCGGACCUCAUAAAGUGCGUCGUAGUCCGGAUUGGAGUCUGCAACUCGACUCCAUGAAGUCGGAAUCGCUAGUAAUCGUAAAUCAGAAUGUUACGGUGAAUACGUUCCCGGGCCUUGUACACACCGCCCGUCACACCAUGGGAGUGGGUUGCAAAAGAAGUAGAUAGCUUAACCUUCGGGAGGGCGUUUACCACUUUGUGAUUCAUGACUGGGGUGAAGUCGUAACAAGGUAAGCGUAGUGCU